GAUGAACGCUGGCGGCGUGCCUAAUACAUGCAAGUCGAGCGAACAGACGAGGAGCUUGCUCCUCUGACGUUAGCGGCGGACGGGUGAGUAACACGUGGAUAACCUACCUAUAAGACUGGGAUAACUUCGGGAAACCGGAGCUAAUACCGGAUAAUAUAUUGAACCGCAUGGUUCAAUAGUGAAAGACGGUUUUGCUGUCACUUAUAGAUGGAUCCGCGCCGCAUUAGCUAGUUGGUAAGGUAACGGCUUACCAAGGCAACGAUGCGUAGCCGACCUGAGAGGGUGAUCGGCCACACUGGAACUGAGACACGGUCCAGACUCCUACGGGAGGCCGCCGUAGGGAAUCUUCCGGCAUGGGCGGAAGCCUGACGGAGCAAAGCCGCGUGAGUGAUGAAGGUCUUCCGAUCGUAAAACUCUUUUAUUAGGGAAGAACAAAUGUGUAAGUAACUAUGCACGUCUUGACGGUACCUAAUCAGAAAGCCACGGCUAACUACGUG
rnacentral:rRNA from 1 species